UGAGGUAGUAAGUUGUAUAGUUUUGAGGGGCUCUGACCCCCCCAACCCCUUGGGAAGCAACUAUACAAUCUACUGUCUUUC
rnacentral:pre_miRNA from 1 species